GGGGUGAUAAAAUGGGUCAAGUUUUAUGAAUCAAUUCAACUCAAUUCAACCUAUGAAUCCUAAUGAGUUAAAAAAAUACACCAGUUGAGUUUAUGAAUGUAACGGGUUAAUGGGUUAUGUUUUUUUUUUUUUUUAUGGGCUUCUUUUAUUGGGUUUGCCCCUAAUGGGCCGGCUUCAGAUUUUACAAAGAACCACAGAAACAAAGGCAAUCGACGGGACAAAAUCAACGCCGGAAAAGAAGCUCGUGUCAUAUUGACACCGGAACGCAGAGGGCCUGUCUCCAGAUCCGACGGAUGCGAGAUCGACAGUUUUGCGGCAGAACGAGGUAUCUAGGCAAUGGAGGAGAAGCAUCCGACUCCCGCUUCCAUUUCUUUUCCCCCGGCAAACCAAACCCACCACAUAUCUCUCGGAAUGACCAGCCCUCCGACUAUCCGGCACGUUGUAAGCCGCUCCCGUACCAAGCGAGCCGACCUACUUCUGACAUAACCCCUCCUUCCCAGCUUGACGUCCUUCAGAUCGCCAAACCAGAUUCCCUCUUCUCGGCCAGGAGGAAGCAAGACGCGGUGAUGUAUGGGGCCGACGGCUCAAUCGGAAUUCCAAACAUCAAAAAUACGUGCGUCGGCCAUCAAGAUCCGAACGGAUCUUUCAUUAACCUCCAUGGCGAUUCGACCAAACCUCCAUCUCUCCCGCCGACUUCCGCCGUGGAUCCAUAACCAGCCUUUCGGGUGAGCCACAAAGACCAUUGCUUCUCCAUACCGGCGUCUUCAAACCGGAGGAGAGCAUAGCAGAGAACUCUGUCCAAAACGCUGGAUCUGGUUCCACAUCGAGAAGAGAGGAACCUCCAUUGCCGACUGAGAAGGAAUCAGAUCCACUUAUGUGCCCUAUAGCAAAAAAGAAGGAAUGAAAAUCAAAGCCACAAAACAACAAUCUAGAUCUAGGGUUGAACAAGGAAGAGAGAGAAGGGAGAAAGAGAAGGGAAAGAUUGGCCUUGUAUUUUUUGGUAUAACUUUACUUCCCGUCCCCUUCAUCAAUUCAACGGGUUAAUGAGUUAAAUGGUCUGAUGGAUCAUAUGAAUAUAAUUGUAAUGGAUUAAUGGUUUAAUCAUUUAAUCCAUCAAUUCUUUUUAAACGAGUCAAACCAACUCAAAUGAGUUAACCAAAACCUGUAAACCAAUACAAUAACUUCAUUGAGAACUAGCUGGUGGGAAAAAAUAUAGAAUCCAAGAAGAGUUAGUACUUGUAGAAUGGAAGAAACCCUAGUGGCCACUAUGAUCUUCAGUUCACGGUCUCUCUCUUUCCAUGGACCAAGGUGUGUGAGCCACCGCAAUACUAGUCGAGUUAUCGUCGCGUUCAGCUAUAUCGCCACCGGAGAUUGUAUUAUGUUAUGAAAGCAGAUAAUUGUAUAUGAACGUUUCUGGUAUGAAU
rnacentral:lncRNA from 1 species